CCUAUAUUAAGAGAAUUUAGCUAUAGUUUUAAAUAAUAAUUUUUGGAGUCUUCUUAGCCCAAAAUUGAAACACAAAAGAUAUGGUCCAACCCAAUUACCCUUAACCCAUUCUUCCCAACCCAUUAGCCCAUUUAAGUUCAAAAUUUAAUCCUAACCAUCUAUUUUCCAUCUAAUCCAAUGGUCAUCAUCUCUUUCCAUCUCCGUAUAAAAUACUCAAUUAUAAAAACUCAACCCUAAGAUUUUCAAUACCAAGACCUAGCUAACACACAAGAACGGCAGCCAUCACCUUGACCCCUCAAUUCCCCAUAGCCAGAUACAAACGAGGCAUAGAAACAAAGCAAAAAAGAAAUGAGGAAAAACGUAACUUUCCGCUCUGCGAUUUUGGGAAAUCAUUGAUUCUUCUUCUUGGAAUUUCACCAAAGACCAACGACACACUUCCACCAAAGAAAGUGAGAAAUGGCCAGAAUUUCCGAAAAAUCUUCGGCCGUACCUACACCAAAUCUCCACGCCUCUGCCGCCGUUGGACUGCAAAGAAGUAUUGCCAGUAAGGUCGAAUCCCAAACUCCAGCACCACCGAACUCCAUAGCUGCUGAGCUCUAAUCAAUUUCAUUCUCUCGAAAACUCCAUUUACUAUUGAGUCGAGGUUGCCGACGAGUUCACUGCUCAAGCUAGUCCCUGUUUUCAUUUCCUAGUAGCAUCUAGCUCACCAAAAUUUGCAGUAAUUGAAUUUCGCUAUUUAAAAAGGAAAGCAGCUGAGAUCCAGGUGCUUCCGGUCACGGCGGCUGUUGAGUUGUGGAGUCGAGAUCUUUGGAGACUAUCGAGAUAGAUGCAUGACGUUCAGAGACCUUAACUCUCCUUCAUUAUCUUUACUUAUAUUUUAGUUUUACUCUUUAGACAUUAUAGUAGACUAUCUUCCGUUAUGGAUUCUCAUGUACUCGGUGACACCCCGAUUUUUUGGAGAGAUUUGUAUUGAGCUGCGAAUUUUAUUCUGCUUUUAA